rnacentral:rRNA from 1 species
UACGGAGGGGGCUAGCGUUGUUCGGAAUUACUGGGCGUAAAGCGCGCGUAGGCGGACCUGCAAGUCGGGGGUGAAAGCCCGAGGCUCAACCUCGGAACUGCCUUCGAUACUGCGGGUCUCGAGUCCGGGAGAGGUGAGUGGAAUUCCUAGUGUAGAGGUGAAAUUCGUAGAUAUUCGCAAGAACACCAGUGGCGAAGGCGGCUCACUGGCCCGGUACUGACGCUGAGGCACGAAAGCGUGGGGAGCAAACAGG